rnacentral:tRNA from 1 species
AGCCCCGUAGUGUAGUGGUCAAUCAUACUGGCCUCUUUGGAGCCAGCGACAGAGGUUCGAAUCCUCUCGGGGCUA